AUGGCACAUGUUUGCACAUUCGAGCACACUGUCUUUCCGUUAACGGCCAGGUCAUUUGAGUUCUCGUCAUCGUUUAGAUUUUAAACCAGAUUAAUGUUCAAAAUCCCUUACUCUGACUUGAUGAACGAUAAUUGAUUACUUAAAUGGUCAUUUAUAACGUUUUAUUAAAAUUUUCUAUAAAAAAUUGUUUUAAUGAAUUGUAUGAUUAUUAUUAUUACA